GACAUAGGUGGCGAACGUUAUCCGGAAUUAUUGGGCGUAAAGGGCUCGUAGGCGGUUUGUCGCGUCUGCCGUGAAAGUCCGGGGCUCAACUCCGGAUCUGCGGUGGGUACGGGCAGACUAGAGUGAUGUAGGGGAGAUUGGAAUUCCUGGUGUAGCGGUGGAAUGCGCAGAUAUCAGGAGGAACACCAAUGGCGAAGGCAGAUCUCUGGGCCGUAACUGACGCUGAGGAGCGAAAGCAUGGGGAGCGAACAGG
rnacentral:rRNA from 1 species